rnacentral:rRNA from 1 species
ACCACUUCGGUGGGGAUUAGUGGCGAACGGGUGAGUAACACGUGGGCAAUCUGCCCUGCACUCUGGGACAAGCCCUGGAAACGGGGUCUAAUACCGGAUACUGAUCCUCGCAGGCAUCUGCGAGGUUCGAAAGCUCCGGCGGUGCAGGAUGAGCCCGCGGCCUAUCAGCUAGUUGGUGAGGUAACGGCUCACCAAGGCGACGACGGGUAGCCGGCCUGAGAGGGCGACCGGCCACACUGGGACUGAGACACGGCCCAGACUCCUACGGGAGGCAGCAGUGGGGAAUAUUGCACAAUGGGCGAAAGCCUGAUGCAGCGACGCCGCGUGAGGGAUGACGGCCUUCGGGUUGUAAACCUCUUUCAGCAGGGAAGAAGCGAAAGUGACGGUACCUGCAGAAGAAGCGCCGGCUAACUACGUGCCAGCAGCCGCGGUAAUACGUAGGGCGCAAGCGUUGUCCGGAAUUAUUGGGCGUAAAGAGCUCGUAGGCGGCUUGUCACGUCGGUUGUGAAAGCCCGGGGCUUAACCCCGGGUCUGCAGUCGAUACGGGCAGGCUAGAGUUCGGUAGGGGAGAUCGGAAUUCCUGGUGUAGCGGUGAAAUGCGCAGAUAUCAGGAGGAACACCGGUGGCGAAGGCGGAUCUCUGGGCCGAUACUGACGCUGAGGAGCGAAAGCGUGGGGAGCGAACAGGAUUAGAUACCCUGGUAGUCCACGCCGUAAACGGUGGGCACUAGGUGUGGGCAACAUUCCACGUUGUCCGUGCCGCAGCUAACGCAUUAAGUGCCCCGCCUGGGGAGUACGGCCGCAAGGCUAAAACUCAAAGGAAUUGACGGGGGCC